CCCGUACAGCGGCGAGCCCGCGCCCGCCGGCCACCAGCUGCAGGACCUGCAGGAGGCCUCGGACGGCCUGGGCGGCGAGCUGACGGCGCUCUGUGACGAGGUGGCCGCGCACUACGAGCACGGCACGCCUCGAGCGGUGGCUGCUCAGGUGUCCCGGCUGGAGCUGCUGUGGGACGGCUGUCGCCAGG